rnacentral:rRNA from 1 species
GAUGAACGCUGGCGGCGUGCUUAACACAUGCAAGUCGAACGGAAAGGCCCAAGCUUGCUUGGGUACUCGAGUGGCGAACGGGUGAGCAACACGUGGGUGAUCUGCCCCGCACUUCGGGAUAAGCCUGGGAAACUGGGUCUAAUACCGGAUAGGACAGUGGUUUGGAUGCCAUUGUGGAAACUUUUUUCGGUGUGGGAUGAGCUCGCGGCCUAUCAGCUUGUUGGUGGGGUAAUGGCCUACCAAGGCGUCGACGGGUAGCCGGCCUGAGAGGGUGUACGGCCACAUUGGGACUGAGAUACGGCCCAGACUCCUACGGGAGGCAGCAGUGGGGAAUAUUGCACAAUGGGCGCAAGCCUGAUGCAGCGACGCCGCGUGGGGGAUGACGGCCUUCGGGUUGUAAACUCCUUUCGCUAGGGACGAAGCGUUAUGUGACGGUACCUAGAGAAGAAGCACCGGCUAACUACGUG